UCCCUGGUGGCUCAGACAGUAAAGCGUCUGUUUGCAAUGCAGGAGACCCAGGUUCGAUGCCUGGGUUGAGAA
rnacentral:tRNA from 1 species